UCUGCUCCUCUGUCUGCCUCUCCCUCUCUCCAUCCAUCUCUGCCUCUCUUCACUUGUUUCUCUCUCCUCAAUAUCUCACUUUCCCCUUCUGUUUGAUUCCUCCUUUUUUCCUCUCUCAUCCUCUCUUUGGUCCCAUAGCUAGCAGAAGGCCAAGCCAGACCAGCCCAGGACUGCAGGUGUUUUAAGCAUUUUACUUCACUUGCCCACUUGGGCUGCCAUUGCUCCUGCCCUUGGCACUCGCUCUUUCCUGGCUAGACAAGUUGGGAUUAGUCCUGGAAGAACAGCCAAGGACUGGGGUCUGCUUUGCUCUGCCCCACUCCCUCUCUCUCCUGGGAAGAGGACCAUGAUGUGGGGGCUCAGGACGACGCAAACCCACAGGGCCCCUGAGGAGGCACGGGGCAGGCUCAAUAUUCCUGCCAACAGUGGCAGCAACACACACUUCCGCAGUGCCCACUGUGUGCCACCUGAUGAUCUGCUAACCCCUCACCUCGACCCUCGGAAGUUGCAACUCGCAGCCUUUGCACCUUACAGACAAGCAAACUGAGGCACAGAGACAUAACACGGCUUGCACAGGGUCACACCGCUGGGUCUUGCUCUGUUGCCCGGGCUGGAGUGCAG
rnacentral:lncRNA from 1 species